rnacentral:rRNA from 1 species
GACGAACGCUGGCGGCGUGCCUAAUACAUGCAAGUUGAACGCUUCUUUCUUAUCGAACUUCGGUUCACCAAGAAAGAAGAGUAGCGAACGGGUGAGUAACACGUGGGUAACCUGCCCAUCAGCGGGGGAUAACACUUGGAAACAGGUGCUAAUACCGCAUAAUACUUUUUCUCUCAUGAGUGAAAGUUGAAAGGCGCUUUUGCGUCACUGAUGGAUGGACCCGCGGUGCAUUAGCUAGUUGGUAGGGUAACGGCCUACCAAGGCGACGAUGCAUAGCCGACCUGAGAGGGUGAUCGGCCACACUGGGACUGAGACACGGCCCAGACUCCUACGGGGGGCAGAAGUAGGGAAUCUUCGGCAAUGGACGAAAGUCUGACCGAGCAACGCCGCGUGAGUGAAGAAGGUUUUCGGAUCGUAAAACUCUGUUGUUAGAGAAGAACAAGGAUGAGAAGAGAAUGUUCAUCCCUUGACGGUAUCUAACCAGAAAGCCACGGCUAACUACGUGCCAGCAGCCGCCGUAAUAC